CGGGGCGUGGCGCAGUUGGGAGCGCGCGUGGUUUGGGACCAUGAGGUCGGGGGUUCAAAUCCCUCCGCCCCGA
rnacentral:tRNA from 1 species